CACGUAGGGCGCAAGCGUUGUCCGGAAUUAUUGGGCGUAAAGAGCUCGUAGGCGGUCUGUUACGUCUGCUGUGAAAACCCUGGGCUUAACCCUGGGCUUGCAGUGGAUACGGGCAGACUAGAGGCAGGUAGGGGAGAAUGGAAUUCCCGGUGUAGCGGUGAAAUGCGCAGAUAUCGGGAGGAACACCGGUGGCGAAGGCGGUUCUCUGGGCCUGACCUGACGCUGAGGAGCGAAAGCGUGGGGAGCAAAUAGG
rnacentral:rRNA from 1 species